rnacentral:rRNA from 1 species
GUCCACGCCGUAAACGAUGUCAACUAGCUGUUGGGACUCUUGUAGUUCUGGUAGCGCAGCUAACGCACUAAGUUGACCGCCUGGGGAGUACGGCCGCAAGGUUAAAACUCAAAUGAAUUGACGGGGGCCCGCACAAGCGGUGGAGCAUGUGGUUUAAUUCGACGCAACGCGAAAACCUUACCUACUCUUGACAUCCUGCGAACUUUCUAGAGAUAGAUUGGUGCCUUCGGGAGCGCAGAGACAGGUGCUGCAUGGCUGUCGU